UACAGAGGUCCCGAGCGUUGUUCGGAUUCACUGGGCGUAAAGGGUGCGCAGGUGGGUUGGCAAGUUUGAUGUGAAAGCCCCGGGCUUAACCCGGGAAUGGCAUUGAAUACUGCUGAUCUGGAGGAUCGGAGGGGGGACUGGAAUUCUUGGUGUAGCAGUGAAAUGCGUAGAUAUCAAGUGGAACACCAGUGGCGAAGGCGAGUCCCUGGACAACUCCUGACACUGAGGCACGAAAGCUAGGGGAGCAAACAGG
rnacentral:rRNA from 1 species